rnacentral:rRNA from 1 species
UCCGUAGGGGGCAAGCGUUGUCCGGAUUUAUUGGGCGUAAAGAGCGUGUAGGCGGUUAGGUAGGUCCGUUGUGAAAACUCGAGGCUCAACCUCGAGACGCCGAUGGAAACCAUCUAACUAGAGUCCGGAAGAGGAGAAUGGAAUUCCCGGUGUAGCGGUGAAAUGCGCAGAUAUCAGGAAGAACACCCGUGGCUAAGGCGGUUCUCUAGUACGGUACUAACGCUGAGACGCGAAAGCGUGGGGAGCGAACAGG